UGGGGGGAACCCUGAUCCAGCCAUGCCGCGUGUGUGAAGAAGGCCUUAUGGUUGUAAAGCACUUUAAGCGAGGAGGAGGCUACUGAGACUAAUACUCUUGGAUAGUGGACGUUACUCGCAGAAUAAGCACCGGCUAACUCUGUGCCAGCAGCCGCGGUAAU
rnacentral:rRNA from 4 species